AGAGUUUGAUCAUGGCUCAGGAUGAACGCUGGCGGCGUGCCUAAUACAUGCAAGUCGAACGAGGCGCCUUUGUAGCAAUACGAGGGUAUCCUAGUGGCGAACGGGUGAGUAACGCGUUGGUGACCUGCCCCAAAGUGUGGGAUACCAGUUCGAAAGGACUGCUAAUACCGCAUGUGGUUAUCGGGUUUAGAAACCGAUAUCGAAAGCAGUAAUGCGCUUUGGGAGGGACCUGCGUCCCAUCAGCUAGUUGGUAGGGUAACGGCCUACCAAGGCGACGACGGGUAGGGGACCUGAGAGGGUGGCCCCCCACAAUGGAACUGAAAUACGGUCCAUACACCUACGGGUGGCAGCAGUAGGGAAUAUUGCACAAUGGGCGAAAGCCUGAUGCAGCAACGCCGCGUGCACGAUGAAGGCCUUCGGGUCGUAAAGUGCUUUUCUGGGAGAUGAGAAAGGACAGUAUCCCAGGAAUAAGUCUCGGCUAACUACGUGCCAGCAGCCGCGGUAAAACGUAGGAGGCAAGCGUUAUCCGGAUUCACUGGGCGUAAAGCGUGUGCAGGCGGUUCGGUAAGUUGGGCGUGAAAUCUCCCGGCUUAACUGGGAGAGGUCGUUCAAUACUACCGGACUAGAGAGCAGUAGAGGAAGAUGGAAUUCCCGGUGUAGUGGUGAAAUGCGUAGAUAUCGGGAGGAACACCAGUGGCGAACGCGAUCUUCUGGACUGUUUCUGACGCUCAUACACGAAAGCUAGGGUAGUAAACGGGAUUAGAGACCCCGGGUAAUCCUAGCUGUAAACGAUGUGAACUUGGGCGUCGGUGGCUUAAACACUAUCGGUGCCGAAGCAAACGCGAUAAGUUCACCGCCUGGGGACUACGAUCGCAAGAUUAAAACUCAAAGGAAUUGACGG
rnacentral:rRNA from 1 species